rnacentral:rRNA from 1 species
AGGUUAAUUGAUGGGGUUAUGCUUAUGCAGAAGCUCUUGAUCGAAGCCCCAGUAAACGGCGGCCGUAACUAUAACGGUCCUAAGGUAGCGAAAUUCCUUGUCGGGUAAGUUCCGACCUGCACGAAUGGCGUAAUGAUGGCCAGGCUGUCUCCACCCGAGACUCAGUGAAAUUGAAAUUGCCGUGAAGAUGCGGUGUACCCGUGGCAAGACGGAAAGACCCCGUGAACCUUUACUAUAGCUUGACAGUGAACAUUGAGCCUUAAUGUGUAGGAUAGGUGGGAGGCAAAGAAGCAUGCACGCCAGUGUGUGUGGAGUCGACCUUGAAAUACCACCCUUUAAUGUUUGAUGUUCUAACCUAUACUUCUGAAUCGAGGUAAGGGACACUGUCUGGUGGGUAGUUUGACUGGGGCGGUCUCCUCCCAAAGAGUAACGGAGGAGCACGAAGGUUAGCUAAUCCUGGUCGGACAUCAGGAGGUUAGUGCAAUGGCAAAAGCUAGCUUGACUGCGAGAGUGACGGCUCGAGCAGGUACGAAAGUAGGUCAUAGUGAUCCGGUGGUUCUGAAUGGAAGGGCCAUCGCUCAACGGAUAAAAGGUACUCCGGGGAUAACAGGCUGAUACCGCCCAAGAGUUCAUAUCGACGGCGGUGUUUGGCACCUCGAUGUCGGCUCAUCACAUCCUGGGGCUGAAGUAGGUCCCAAGGGUACGGCUGUUCGCCGUUUAAAGUGGUACGCGAGCUGGGUUUAGAACGUCGUGAGACAGUUCGGUCCCUAUCUGCCAUGGGCGUAGGAAAAUUGAGAGGGUUUGCUUCUAGUACGAGAGGACCGAAGUGAACGCACCGCUGGUGUUCGGGUUGUGAUGCCAAUUGCAUUGCCCGGUAGCUACGUGCGGAAUAGAUAAGUGCUGAAAGCAUCUAAGUACGAAACUAGCCUUGAGAUGAGUUUUCCCUGAAGAGAUUCAGUAAGGUCCGUUUGAGACUAAGACGUAGAUAGGUCAGGUGUGUAAGUGUAGUGAUACAUUGAGCUAACUGAUACUAAUGAACCGAGAGUCUUAACCUUACAACUC